CCGGGGCCGAGGCGGGAGGGGGCCGCGCCAGCGGCGGGCAACAGCAGCUCGCCGUCCUUCCUGUCGGGAGCGCAGUGCCGCGCGGCCGUGAGGCCCGUCCCCUCGCUGCCCGAGAAGCCCGUCUCUCCUGGCGGGCGUGAGGUGGGCUCGGCCGGGUGUGAAUAGGCGUUCUCCGGCCGCCAGAGGGGAGAGCCCGCCGCGGGGCUAAGCGAGGAGGCAAUGGCAGGAGUCGGUGGCACUGUCCGCGGACUGCUGCUCGGCCCGCCUCGGAUGUCGGAGGACUGGUGGACUCCUGGGGGUGGUGUGACCUUUGAGGACAUUGCCGUGUACUUCUCCUGGAAGGAGUGGAGGCUUCUUGAUGAGACUCAGAGACGGCUCUACCACCAUGUGAUGCUGGAGAACUUUACACUUAUAUCCUCACUGGGUUGUUGCUGUGGAGCAGAGGAUGAGGAGGCACCCUUUGCCCAGAGCACUUCUGUAGGCGUGUCACAGACCAGGACGCCCAAGGCAGCUCAGUCUUCCCGGAAGACCCACCCCUGUGAGAUGUGUGGUCCAGUCUUGAGAGGCAUUUUCCACUUGGCUGCGCACCAGGGAAAAGAAAACAGCCAGAGACUGUUGAGGUGUGGGGCCUGUGGGAAACGAUUUUAUUUCAUUACUGACUUCAGAAAACAUGAGAAACAGCACAUGGGAGAGAAACCCUUCAGAAGCCGUGUGGACAGGGCCUCUGUUGUGAAGAGCUGGGGAUUCCAUGGUGCAGGAAAGCCCCUUACCUGUGGAGAAGUUCAGAAGGACUUCCUGUCUGGCUCGGGGCAUCUGCAGCAAGAGGCCACUCGUACUGGGGAGAAGCCACACACGAUCACCCAGUGCAGGGCAACUUUACAAAGCAGAAAAAGUCAUGACCCCUGGGGAGAAUGCAAGAACGCCUUUGGUCCCAAACACACACAUAGUCAGGACCAGGGUGUCCACCUUGGAAGACAGUCCUUUGUGUGCAGUGAAUGCGGGAAAGCAUUCAGAUUUUAUUUAUUUGACAGCACAAGCAGGGGGAGCAGCAGAGGGAGAGGGAGAAGCAGGCUCCCCAGUGAGUCAGGAGCCCGAUGUGGGGCUCCAUCCCAGGACCUUGGAAUCAUGAUCUGAGCCGAAGGCAGACGCUUAACCGACUGAGCCACCCAGGCACCCUGAGAACCUCACCUUUUAGAUAAAUUCUUCAUGUUUUGUGACAUCCUCAGAGGGAAGUGUGACCAUGACACCCUCAGAGGGAAAAGCUGCCGUGGUGUAAAGUUAUCAGAACUGAAAAAUAAUCACAUUUUGGAAGCAAAAUGCCUCAGGUUAUUGGUGUGGAACCGAGAACAAAGAGGUACCUUCUGAACAGUGUUUCUUUAGGAGUAGCACAGAUCAGGACUCCCAAGGCAGGUCUCUUCAUCUAGAAAAUCCACCCUUGUGAUAUGUGUAUUCAUAUCUUGAAGUACAUUUUACAGUUGGCUGAGCACCAUGGAAAAUGGACAGAAACUGUAUACAAGAGAGCAGCAUGUACCAAACAUUUUUAUUUCCGUGCAAACCCUCAGUGUCACCAGGAUCAGCAUAUUGGUGAAAAACUUUAGAAGCAACAUGGAAAGGGCCUCAUGUGUGAAGAGCUGCAAGUUCCAGGUGUUAAGGAAGCCCUUUACCUGGGGGGAGGUUAGGAAGGACUUACCGGCCACCCCAAGCUAUUUCUACAGGAAGGAGAGGCCAAACAAAACCAUCACAUGUGGGUUGGCAGAAAAAGUCAUCACAACUGGGGAAAAUGCAAGAAAGCCUUCGGCUACACAGACACACUUGCUCAGAACCAGGUGUCUACACUGGAGAAAAGCCUUAGAGUGUAGUGAAUAUAGGAAAUCUUUUAGCUAUAGUUCCACCUUCGAUUAUUAAUGGAGAGUUCACACUAGAGAAAGACCUUAGUUGUGGAGGGAAAGUGCAAUCUCCUUGUUCAGUGUUAACAGAAAUGGAUCAAAGCCUCUGUGAGUAGCCAUCUGCCUCAUUUGAAUCUCAUACAUCUAAACCUUCAUAGAGGGAAGGUUCCCCAUAAAUUUCAUUUAUGUAGGAAGCAUGUGUGGCUAUGAUGCACUUUCUAACUUGCCCAGGGCUCUCUCCAGAUUUAUGUCACUGCCAGUUUCUGUGGCCAGAGCCACUUCAUCUCUACCACAUGGCAGGUCCCCACAGUGUGCAUCAGUCACCACCCCAAUGUGCUCAGGGAAGCUGACAUCCGUUCUGUAAUGUAUUCGAGCAAAGUAGGAGUAACCUGAGCCUUUCAUAGGUCCACAUUCCCUUCUCUCUGACUAGUUGGCAAGGACCUCACCCAGUUUUGGCCCAGAGGAAACCAAAUGAAUUCUACUGGCAGCUUGCCAAGAACUACUUUUUUCAGGCACGUUUGUCUCACGUGAUAUUUGUAAUACCUUUUCCAGCUCCCAAGUCUCCAACCUGAGAACUGCCUACCACACGUUGCUUUGGUUUGUACAAUAAGAAAGACCUUAUUGUUUCAAUCCUCUCUAAAUUUGGGGUUCUAGUUACUAUGCAGUGGUUUAUAAUAGAUUUGGGCCCUGCACACAUUACAAUUUUUGUCAGUAUGGCAGAAAAUGGCACCUCAGUUUUGGGCAAAUUUGUAUUGCUGCCUAUGGCCGCUUUAUGGUAAAGAUCUGUCACGCUCAUCAAUGGCAUGGAUGCCUGGGUGAUUAGUCUCCAGAUAACCGCAUAUGGCCCCCUUAAAGAGGGGCAGCCGAUCCUCUACCCCUGAGCUGGGGCCUUCCAUUUCCCAGAGCGCCUCGCAGUAAAUAUUUGUGGGCCUUUUCUCCUGGAGUCAGGUGGGGAACCCGCUUACCUAGACCUUGGGAGCUGUGGGAACUACAUUUCCCAGAACGCCCUGCGCUGAAGACGGCGUAGCUGAGCCAAUGAAGGCUUAGAAAAGGGGCGUUUCCGAUUGAGCACAAAGCGUCGGGGCGGGGCUUGCGGCCCCCAGUCCGUGGCCAUCAUCUUGGCCGCCUGCUGGUGUCGUCCGCUUGUGGGAGGUUCCGGAGAGCGGGGCCGGGGGCGAAAGGAGGCUUUGUCCCGGCUGUAGGGAGGCGGGUCUAGGGUCGGGGGUAUCGCCGCCUGCGAGGACCGCCUGGAGACCUCGGUGCCCGCGACUGCCCGGCUCGCUCAGCUGUCAUCACCUCACUCCGCCCAGAGGCUCCGAUGGCGGCGGCCGCGCGCAGGGACCCGGCUCCGAAUGCAACUCCCUUGUGGGCCUUUAUGGUGAGUGGUAUCCUUUUCUCAGAGGUGUGAAUUUAUGUGGUAAAUAAACUGCUGUCAGGCUCAUCUGUCCAGUCUCAGGUGUCACGUGUUUGGCCAUCACCAUAGUCUAAGAGUGGGAUUAAGAGGAAGCAGUAACAUCUGGGUAGGUCAGGCAGAUGCAUAUGGAGCAGGACAGUGAGGUAGUGGCAGUCAUGGUCAUGCAGCUGUGGGAUAUGGAGACUGAGGGAUGUGUAGUCUAAAGAAUGAUGUGUCCUUGGAGAGGGAGCAUUGUUAGAUGGUCCCAGGGCCCUGAGUUUAUAAUUACAUGGCAAUGACCAUACCAGGGGAAUUGCUUGUCAGGAGUCGUGGAUCCCGGUAUGCUAGGCCCACAGCUUAGAUAUGUAUUUGUCCACCUGUCUCUUGCUAGUGGUUGAACCCAGUGGUCAAUGGGACCAUGAGGAGACAACAACACCGAUGCUACCAGGCCCUGAUUUCUCCUCUAAGUUGGGAGGCUUGAGCUAUAGAUGGUCAUAGGGUAGAUGUGUGGGGGAAGGGAUUGUGGCUCCUCGGAAGUAGACUAUUUGUGGUUUCAUCCAUCAUCAUCAUCAUCAUAGCAGGGCAGUGUGACCUUUCAAGAUGUAGCUUAUAGUUGUCUACACUAUAAGCAAGAGAAGCAGAUUUACUAUCACUGUUACUGAAUUUUGAAUCAAAAUAUCCUGGAAUACUAGAUGACAUGAAAUGUGAGCCUACAAAUAUAUAAAGUUGAUUAAAUAAAUAGUGGGAUGUUCUAAAGGGAACUAAAACCCUAGAAACUGUACUUGGAACAUUUGUUUUUCUUGCCCAGCAGGUAAAGCAGAACUGAGAGACCCACAUGUCACUGUCAAAGAGCAUGAAGGGAUGAAGGUCAGGGAGCCUGAAGAGACCGGUAUAGAGGUGUUCAUCAGACCAUGUUGUAGGUUCAUAGUCAGGGUUACUCAAAAAGAUAAAAUGGAAGAAAGUAAAAGGAGACCAACAUAUUCAUCAGGAUGAGAUUGGCUUUUGUCCCAUCAAGAUGAGAAUGGAGCUUGGGGCUUUGGUUUCACAGAAAGGUCUGGGGGAAAGGCCGUGGCCGUGAAUGUGUUGGAUGUGCUGCUUGUGCGUGAGCGGAACAAGGACGUGGCACCACUUGGUAGAUGAGGCCAGAGCACAUAAUGCCAGUGAAGGACAAGAUGCAUACAUGCAGUGAGAUAAUAUUUCUGGAAUAUCCAAUAAACAGUCCUAUAUAUUUUUUCAGUAGUCUUUUUUGUUGUUUAUUUUGGAGCCAUUUACUUUCAUAGGAGUAAAUUUAUUUAAGGGAGAUGCAAGGUAUAGGAGAGGAAACAGCAGAAGCCAGUGACACUUUGGGAACAUCAUUCUAAGCUCCAUCCACUGCAAAGUAUUGUGGCAAAACUUAAGGUUCUGAAAGCCACUCAGAAAGCAGGUAAUGCUAAGAAGAACCUUCUGCCCUUUUUGUGAAAAUAAAGACAGUUAAUAUCCCACAUCAUUCCAGAAAAUAAAUUCCAUUCAAAAGCUGCCAUUGGCUGGCAAAUCUCGUUAGAGAGAAGCUUUACGGAUAAGCUUAAAGAUAAGUUGGUUGAAAUUCAAGUCUGUCAAUAGCACCUUCUAUGCAGUGAGCAAAGUAAAAUUAUAAAGAUAAGUGAGGUAAAGCAUUUCCAAGGAUCCCAGAUCCAGUAUGGUUGAGAAAGGUAAUAUCCAAAUUUAAGUUAGAAACAAUUUUAUCAAUUUAGAGGACUUGAAUUUUUCUUGAAUCAGAGAAAUAUGCAAACUUUAAAAUAAAAUUGGCUUGGGGCACCUGGCUGGCUCCGUCGCUGGAGCAUGGGACUCUUGAUCUCAGGGUCAUGAAUUUGAGCCCCAUGUUGGGUGUAGGGCUUACUUAAAAAAUAUAUUGAUUAAUUAAAUUAAAUAAAUUUAUUUUUUUAUAAUAACAAAAAGAUUGAAACCUAUCUGAUGUCUAUCAGUGGAAAAUUGAAUAAAUCAUGAUGCAUACCAAGAUGGAGCAUUAGACAGUGUGGAGAUGAUAAGGAAGUUCUCUUAACUGCUACAAUCCAGAACAUACUGUUUGGUGAAAAAGAAGAGGAAGCAGGUGUCACAAUAUUUUGUGCAGGUAGCUUUAUUUUCCUAAGAAUGGAAGGGAAAUUUAUUUUUCUUUGUUUCUCUUCAGUGUCAUUAUGGCUUGAUUGGCUGAUACUACAAGAACCUACUGAAUAUAUUGAUGUUAACUUGACAAAAAUAGAGAUAAGGAGAUACUAUGUUCCUUUGGAAUGUCAUAUAGAAAAAAGUAGCAGUGGCUCCAUAUGAAUAAUUCUACCCAAAUACCAAAUCAAAUUUUGAUCCCAUCCGUUGAUUAAGUGAGUGUUUAAAGGAACAAUGGGGCAUUGAGGAUUAUAUUAAAAUACAUUAUGAGGAAGCAGUAAGCCCCAUUAAUAUAUGUGAAAUUCUAUAAGAUAUAUGAACCUUUUCAUAAAAUGUGAUAUGUUAAGAUAAAAGGAACAGGAUAUAAUAAAGUCUAGAGAAUAUAUAAAUAUGAUACAAUGGUCAGAAAAAUAUUUGAAUGCUGAUUCCAACAAACAACUCUGAAUAUUUAAUCAACAUAUCAGAAUUUGAAUAAUGACUUGGUAUUUGAUGAUUUUAAGCAACUUAAUUUAUAUGUAAUAAAGAUAUUGUAUAUUAAAUAAAAUAUUCUUUUAUAAAAAAUAUUCCUUUAUGAACAUUCACUGAAGUGUUUAGAGGCACAAUUACAUGGCUUCUUAAAUUAUCCUUAACGUGAAUUGGCUUUGGAGGGAACUUGGGUGGGUUUAUACAUGAAAUGAGUUUGGCAGUGGGUGGGUCCUGUGAAACUAUGUUAUGGGUCCAUAUGAUUCAUUUAUUAACCCUUUCUGUUUUGUAGAUGUCUGAAAAUUGGAAGUUAUUAAAAUGUCAUUAUUUCAAUAAUUAACAAAUUCAGAUAAAUAUUUUUCCUCUAUUUGCUAAAACAAUUCUUUUAUUUUCUAGGGCACCAUUCUUUAUAUUGCAUUGUUUUAGCCUUCAAUUUUGAGAGUAUUACAUCUCUUUUUUUUUUUAAGAUUUUUAAAAUCAUUUAUUUAUUUAUUUAUUUAUUUAUUUUUUAAAGAUUUUAUUUAUUCAUUUGAGACAGAGAGAAUGAGAGACAGAGAGCAUGAGAGGGAGGAGGGUCAGAGGGAGAAGCAGACUCCCUGCCGAGCAGGGAGCCCGAUGCGGGACUCGAUCCUGGGACUCCAGGAUCAUGACCUGAGCCGAAGGCAGUUGCUUAACCAACUGAGCCACCCAGGCGCCCCUAAAAUUAUUUAUUUAUUUGACAGAGAGAGAGCGCGAGAGCAGGAACACAAGCAGGGGGAGUGGGAGAGGGAGAAGCAGGCUUCCCGCUGAGCAGGGAGCCCGAGGCGGGGCUCGAUCCCAGGACCCUGGGAUCAUGACCUGAGCCGAAGGCAGAUGCUUAACAACUGAGCCACUCAGGUGCCCCGCCCCUGAAGUCUCUUUCUAUUACUCUGUUUCUCAUCAUUUUUCCUAAGCAAGGAUCAACAACUUAAAUGCCUUCCACACUGGGAGGAGAGGGCAGUGAAAGGAGUAAAGUCAGCAACGUGGGGUAGAGCUUGCAUGCUGAAGAAGAGAAGACCCAACUAUGUUGGCCAUUAUUUUGUAUUUAUGAUCAAUUUUUUACUUUGUUAAGCAGGUCAUCAAAUCCAGAUUAUUAUUUUUUAAAUUAGACUGUAUUUUUUUUAGGACAGCUUUAGGUUCACAGCAAAAUUGUGUGGAAGCUGUAGAGGUUUCCUGUAUAUCCCUUUUCCCCCACAUAAACACAGACCCCUCUACUCUCAACAUCCUACAUCAGAGUGGUAUAUUUUGUUACAAUCAACGAAUCUGCACUGACAUCAUU